rnacentral:rRNA from 1 species
UACGUAGGGGGCAAGCGUUGUCCGGAAUUAUUGGGCGUAAAGAGCGCGUAGGCGGUCCGGUAAGUCAGCUGUGAAAGUCAAGGGCUCAACCCUUGAAAGCCGGUUGAUACUGUCGGGCUAGAGUCCGGAAGAGGCGAGUGGAAUUCCCGGUGUAGCGGUGAAAUGCGCAGAUAUCGGGAGGAACACCAAUGGCGAAGGCAGCUCGCUGGGACGGUACUGACGCUGGGGCGCGAAAGCGUGGGGAGCAAACAGG